rnacentral:lncRNA from 1 species
UUGGUCCGCGCGCAACCCUCUAUCAGUAAUCAUCAUACCAAUCAAUAACGAAGCAUUCAAAACAAAUAAGCAUACACAUACAAUAAGAUAAAAUAAUAAUCAGAGGUAAAUAUAGAUAAAAUGAAUGAAGAUAAAAACUAGUAUGAAAAGUAACCAACAAAAAUAACCAAGGCAAAAAUCGAAAGAAAAAUAAAGUACGUAAAUAAAUAAUAAGAAAAUUACUAAUAAUAAGAAUCAAACAAAUAAAAAGAAAUAUAAAUAUAAUUAAUUAAUUAAAAAAAAAAGAGGGGAAGGGGCAAAUGGUGAGGGGGUCGACGAUGGGGCCGCGGCAAUGCCCAGAGGGUCGCGCGAUCAGUAAUGGGGAGAGGGAAGGGUGGCGGUGGAGGUUAUUUCGAAAGGAGGGAGAAGGAGGGAGGUUCAAAUGGGAAUGGGGGUGAGGGUGUGCGUGGGGGAGAGGAAAGGGGAGGACAAUGAACAAGGGGCGGGGUUUGUGUGGUGGAUAGUGGCGGGGCUGGGUUGGGUUAGGAGGUGCGAUGGAGGAAGAAGGGAAAGGAGGGGGAAAAAGAGGAGAGGAGGGGACGGAUGGGUUGGUGUUGGUCAACGGUGCAGGGAGGGGAAAGGAGGGGGGUUCGUGCUAGACAGUAGGAGGGGAAAAAUAAAAGAAGGGAGAAGAGAAAUGGAAGGCAUAAGGACGAUGGAGAGGUAGCCGGUCUUGCAAGGAAGAGGGACGGUUAGGGUGGCCGAAGCUGCAAAGGGAUAGGCGUGCGGCGGCUAGGGGAAAAAGUGAGAAAGAAGAGAA